GCCCCCGUAGCUCAGCGGAUAGAGCAGCCGCCUUCUAAGCGGUUGGUCGCAGGUUCGAUUCCUGCCGGGGGCGCCA
rnacentral:tRNA from 1 species